rnacentral:rRNA from 1 species
CCUACGGGUGGCAGCAGUAGGGAAUCUUUCACAAUGGGCGAAAGCCUGAUGGAGCAACGCCGCGUGAAGGAUGAAGGCUUUCGGGUUGUAAACUGCUUUUAUAAGCGAGAAAUAUGACGGUAACUUAUGAAUAAGGAUCGGCUAACUACGUGCCAGCAGCCGCGGUCAUAAGUAGGAGCCGAGCAUUUUCCGGGGUGACUGGGGGUAAAGAGUUGCGUAGGAGGGAAAAUAUGUAGCUAGUGAAAACCGCUGGCUCAACCAUUGAGACUGUUUGCUAAACUGUUAAGCUCGAGACCGUUAGGGGUAACUGGAAUUUCUAGUGUAGGGGUGAAAUGCGUAGAUAUUAGGAGGAACACCAGUGGCGAAGGCGUGUUACUGGAACGGUACUGACGCUGAGGCACGAAAGCGUAGGGAGCAAACGGGAUUAGAUACCCGUGUAGUC